rnacentral:rRNA from 1 species
AUUGACGUUACCCGCAGAAGAAGCACCGGCUAACUCCGUGCCAGCAGCCGCGGUAAUACGGAGGGUGCAAGCGUUAAUCGGAAUUACUGGGCGUAAAGCGCACGCAGGCGGUUUGUUAAGUCUGAUGUGAAAUCCCCGGGCUCAACCGGGGAACUGCAUUGGAAACUGGGAGGCUUGAGUCUUGUAGAGGGGGGUAGAAUUCCAGGUGUAGCGGUGAAAUGCGUAGAGAUCUGGAGGAAUACCGGUGGCGAAGGCGGCCCCCUGGACAGAGACUGACGCUCAGGUGCGAAAGCGUGGGGAGCAAACAGGAUUAGAUACCCCCGGUAGUCAA